rnacentral:rRNA from 1 species
GACGAACGCUGGCGGCGUGCUUAACACAUGCAAGUCGAACGGAAAGGCCCUGCUUUUGUGGGGUGCUCGAGUGGCGAACGGGUGAGUAACACGUGAGUAACCUGCCCUUGACUUUGGGAUAACUUCAGGAAACUGGGGCUAAUACCGGAUAGGAGCUCCUGCUGCAUGGUGGGGGUUGGAAAGUUUCGGCGGUUGGGGAUGGACUCGCGGCUUAUCAGCUUGUUGGUGGGGUAGUGGCUUACCAAGGCUUUGACGGGUAGCCGGCCUGAGAGGGUGACCGGCCACAUUGGGACUGAGAUACGGCCCAGACUCCUACGGGAGGCAGCAGUGGGGAAUAGUGCACAAUGGGCGGAAGCCUGAUGCAGCAACGCCGCGUGCGGGAUGACGGCCUUCGGGUUGUAAACCGCUUUCGCCUGUGACGAAGCGUGAGUGACGGUAAUGGGGAAAGAAGCACCGGCUAACUACGU